rnacentral:rRNA from 1 species
CGCGUAGGUAUCUAUCCUUGGGUGGGGAACAACUGCGGGAAACAGCAGCUAAUACCGCAUGAUGCUUGAGGGCCAAAGACGCGAGUCGCCUGGGGAGGAGCCUGCGUACGAUUAGCUAGUUGGUGGGGUAAAGGCCUACCAAGGCUGCGAUCGUUAGCUGGUCUGAGAGGAUGAUCAGCCACACUGGGACUGAGACACGGCCCAGACUCCUACGGGAGGCAGCAGUGGGGAAUAUUGGACAAUGGGCGAAAGCCUGACGGAGCAACGCCGCGUGAGGGAGGAAGGCCUGUGGGUUGUAAA